GGUGGUGAUCUUAGAAUAUUUAAAAUCAGUGAAGAAAGUUCUUCCAAAACCAUAGAUUGUUGAUCCUGUUGCCUUCUCAUCAUCUUGACUUUCUUUGAAAUUCAACAAAAAAAGAGGCAAAUGGAUAAAGCUGUGGCGGAUUUUGACUUAAAAUUAUCCACCCAACAAUAUUAAAGCCUCUAUUUUUAAAUCUUUUUUUCAUUAACAAAAGUCCGAGAGGCUUUUUUUUUUGUUUUCCUUUGCCUGUUUCUUCAAAGAGAGAACGCUAAUUCAGAAAUUAAAUCAGAAAAAAGAAAAGAAUGAUAGAAAUAUAGCGUACAGGGAAAAAGUUGCUUAUCUUGAAAGGAUAAUAGGAUUUUGAGAAAUGUAGA
rnacentral:lncRNA from 1 species